GGGAGUAGAAGGACCGCUGACAGGGUUAGACCCUGAGGAAAGUCCCCUCUCCAAAGUGUAAGAUGACCUAUCUGGAGUCAGGAAUGGCUGGCAAUGUAUUAGAAACGAACGAAUUUGAGUGUGUACUAUGAAUCUGGAAAGACGAGAUUGCUCAACAUUUGCUGAAACGAACAUCCUCAUCGGAGCAAGUCCAAACAAUCCCAUUGAGGUUGCACGCUUAGGGAAGGGUAGGACGCAUAGUUGAAUGCGGUCAACUGAAAAGUGAACAGAAAGGGGCUUACUCUCUACUCCC
rnacentral:RNase_P_RNA from 1 species